rnacentral:rRNA from 1 species
CAAUAAAAUAUGAAGGCUGUACGCGGCUGUGCUCUCGGGCCAGUUUUGCGGAGGCUGAAUUAUUUAUUACCCUUGUCUUUUGCGCACUUGUUGUUUCCUGGGCGGGUUCGCCCGCCACCAGGACCACAUCAUAAACCUUUUUUAUGCAGUUGCAAUCAGCGUCAGUAUAACAAAUGUAAAUCAUUUACAACUUUCAACAACGGAUCUCUUGGUUCUGGCAUCGAUGAAGAACGCAGCGAAAUGCGAUACGUAGUGUGAAUUGCAGAAUUCAGUGAAUCAUCGAAUCUUUGAACGCACAUUGCGCCCUUUGGUAUUCCAAAGGGCAUGCCUGUUCGAGCGUCAUUUGUACCCUCAAGCUUUGCUUGGUGUUGGGCGUUUUUUGUCUUUGGUUGCCAAAGACUCGCCUUAAAAGGAUUGGCAGCCGGCCUACUGGUUUCGCAGCGCAGCACAUUUUUGCGCUUGCAAUCAGCAAAAGAGGACGGCAAUCCAUCAAGACUCCUUCUCACGUUUGACCUCGGAUCAGGUAGGGAUACCCGCUGAACUUAAGCAUAUCAAUAAGCGGAG